CGCCGCCACCUCCUCCGCCUUACUACUACAAAUCUCCGCCUCCGCCUCCUCCCUACAAGUAUGAAUCGCCGCCUCCGCCUCCCUACAAGUACGAGUCGCCGCCUCCACCACCGUACUACUACAAAUCACCUCCGCCGCCCCCAUACAAGUAUGAAUCGCCGCCGCCACCACCAUACAAGUAUGAAUCGCCGCCGCCACCACCAUACAAGUAUGAAUCGCCUCCUCCACCACCAUAUAAGUACGAAUCGCCACCGCCACCACCAUACAAGUACGAGUCGCCUCCUCCACCUCCGUACAAGUAUGAAUCGCCUCCUCCCCCACCAUACUACUACAAAUCACCACCACCACCUCCUUACAAGUAUGAAUCUCCCCCUCCACCUCCAUAUUACUACAAAUCUCCACCCCCGCCACCACCUUACUACUACAAAUCACCACCACCACCUUCUCCUGUCUACAAAUAUAAAUCUCCACCACCACCACCUUACAAGUACGAAUCUCCUCCUCCACCUCCAUACUAUUACAAGUCUCCACCACCACCGCCGUAUUACUACAAGUCUCCACCACCACCACCUCCAGUUUACAAAUACAAAUCUCCUCCUCCGCCACCAUAUUACUACAAAUCACCACCUCCUCCAUCACCAGUAUAUUACUACAAAUCUCCUCCUCCACCAGCGUAUUACUACAAAUCUCCCCCACCGCCUGUCUACUAUUACAAAUCCCCGCCACCUCCAGCUUACCACUACCAAUCGCCACCCCCACCAAGUUACAAGCUGGUAGUGGUCACGGGCAAGGUCUAUUGCAACAGAUGCUGGAACACCACAAGCAGAUACCUUCAGGCAUCACCACAUGGGUCUGCUAGGUACAUUCUCAAUUGCAUUGUAUUCGAUAUUGUUCUCCUCACUCAUUUCCUCUUGAUACUGUGUGCAAUAAUGCAGGUGGCAAAGUGAAGAUCACAUGUGGCGAAUCUUACUACUACGGCUACACCAACAAGCAUGGAAUCUUUAGAAUUGAGCUCCCGCACCAAUCCUGGGAAGAAGCAAGCAGCUGCAAGGCCAAGAUUAUCAAGAGCAGCUACAUCAAGUCGUCAUGCAAUGUCAUCACGGACUACAGGUCUGGUGCAACAGGGGCCAAGCUCAAGUUCAAAUCGAAAACAGAGAAGGAGCUCGUCUUGACAGCCGGUCCUUUCAUCUAUGCAACUCCAGAGCCAUCGUCAGUCUGCUUCUACACAUCACCUCCCUAUGAGUACAAGUCACCUCCGCCACCAACACCGGUCUACCAUUACGCCUCUCCGCCACCUCCGGUCUACUACUACAAAUCGCCACCUCCUCCUUCACCGGUUUACUACUACAAAUCCCCUCCUCCUCCUUCGCCGGUCUACUAUUACAAAUCCCCGCCUCCACCACCAUACUAUUACAAGUCCCCACCUCCACCUCCGCCUAAGUAUUACUACAAGUCGCCCCCACCACCGUCUCCAUACUAUUACAAAUCCCCGCCCCCUCCACCGUACUAUUACAAAUCCCCACCACCACCUCCCUACAAAUACGAAUCGCCGCCGCCUCCUCCUUACAAAUACGAGUCCCCACCUCCACCACCUUACUAUUACAAGUCCCCACCACCACCUCCAUACAAAUAUGAAUCCCCGCCACCUCCAGUCUACAAAUAUGAGUCUCCGCCACCCCCAGUUUACAAAUACAAGUCGCCACCACCACCAUACAAGUACGAGUCACCACCACCACCUCCAUACAAGUAUGAAUCCCCGCCACCUCCACCUUAUUACUACAAGUCCCCUCCACCACCACCAUACAAGUACGAGUCGCCACCACCUCCUCCGUACAAGUAUGAAUCUCCACCACCACCAGUUUACAAAUACAAGUCACCUCCGCCGCCACCUUAUUACUACAAAUCCCCACCGCCACCUCCAUACAAGUACGAGUCUCCACCUCCUCCUCCGUACAAGUAUGAAUCUCCACCACCACCACCUUAUUACUACAAAUCCCCCCCGCCACCUCCAUACAAGUACGAGUCACCGCCUCCUCCUCCGUACAAGUAUGAAUCUCCACCACCGCCAGUUUACAAAUACAAGUCACCCCCGCCACCACCUUAUUACUACAAAUCCCCGCCACCACCUCCAUACAAGUACGAGUCUCCACCUCCUCCUCCGUACAAGUAUGAAUCUCCACCACCACCUCCUUAUUACUACAAAUCCCCGCCGCCACCUCCCUACAAGUAUGAAUCCCCGCCACCACCUCCCUACAAAUACGAGUCACCUCCACCACCACCUUACUAUUACAAAUCUCCUCCACCGCCUCCAUACAAGUAUGAGUCGCCACCACCACCAGUCUACAAAUACGAGUCUCCGCCACCCCCAGUUUACAAAUACAAGUCGCCCCCUCCACCUUAUUACUACAAGUCUCCGCCACCCCCGCCAUACAAAUAUGAAUCCCCACCUCCACCUCCCUACAAGUAUGAAUCGCCUCCUCCUCCACCUUACUACUACAAGUCCCCUCCACCACCUCCCUACAAAUAUGAAUCCCCGCCACCACCUCCCUAUAAAUACGAGUCACCACCACCACCACCUUACUAUUACAAAUCUCCUCCACCGCCUCCAUACAAGUAUGAGUCGCCACCACCACCUCCCUACAAAUACGAGUCACCACCACCACCACCUUACAAGUAUGAAUCCCCACCUCCACCUCCGUACAAGUAUGAAUCACCUCCACCGCCUCCAUACAAGUAUGAAUCCCCUCCUCCACCUCCCUACAAAUACGAGUCACCACCCCCACCACCUUAUUACUACAAAUCGCCUCCGCCACCGGAGUAUCAAUCACCUCCUUACGUGUAUAAAUCUCCACCUCCACCCUCGUACUAGGAGCUAAGGAGCAUUUGAUUUUCAGGUGAGAAAUCUAUAGAACCACAGUUCCUAGUUUUAACAAGUUUUCAAAUUCAU
rnacentral:lncRNA from 1 species